rnacentral:rRNA from 1 species
UACGGAGGGUGCAAGCGUUAAUCGGAAUUACUGGGCGUAAAGCGUGCGUAGGCGGUUCGUUAAGUCUGUUGUGAAAGCCCCGGGCUCAACCUGGGAAUGGCAAUGGAUACUGGCGAGCUAGAGUGUGUCAGAGGAUGGUGGAAUUCCCGGUGUAGCGGUGAAAUGCGUAGAGAUCGGAGGAACAUCAGUGGCGAAGGCGGCCAUCUGGACAACACGUGACGCUGAGCACGAAGCGUGGAGCAACAGG